UCUUUUCUUAAGAAAUAGCCCACAACACCUUGCUUAGCCACACCCUCAAGGGAACUCAGCAGUGAUAAAUAUUAAGCCAUAAGCGAAAGCUUGACUUAGUUAAAGCUUACAGGGCCGGUAAAACUCGUGCCAGCCACCGCGGUUAUACGAGAGGCCCAAGCUGACAGUUGCCGGCGUAAAGAGUGGUUAAUUACCCCCCCCCCCCCCACUAAAGCCGAACAUCUCCAAAGUUGUACAACGCACUCGAAGAUAUGAAGACCAACCACGAAAGUGACUUUACACUCUUUGAACCCACGAAAGCUAGGGAACAAACUGGGAUUAGAUACCCCACUAUGCCUAGCCCUAAAUUUAGAUAGAACACUACCUACGUCUAUCCGCCCGGGAACUACGAGCACGAGCUUGAAACCCAAAGGACUUGGCGGCGCUUCACACCCACCUAGAGGA
rnacentral:rRNA from 1 species